CAAACUUGGUCAUUUAGAGGAAGUAAAAGUCGUAGCAAG
rnacentral:rRNA from 1 species